UAACUAUUGGUGGCAUUACUAGGUAGUAUUACCUAGUAUUACCUAGUUACCUAGUAAUACCUAGUUUUUUUUUCACUACUUUACCUAGUUCUACUUUACCUAGUUUCUCUCCGGGCUACUUUAGUAAUAGUAAAACCUAGUUUAAAAAAAAAAUACCUAGUAAUAAGAAAAACAUUACCUAGGUAAUUUGACCUUUUUUUUACACUGUUGUCAAAUGAUUAAAAACUCAAAAUUUCUGUUAAUUGUAAUUUGUCGCUUAUCGCUAUUCAUUUGUUUCCUUUUUUCCCUUUCCCUGACAGAGCCUGACGCCUGACUGAGUUAGUCUAUCAGUCUAUCUACUGUUUAUUGGAAAUUACAUGCAAUUCUGCACCUGAAUAACUCAAAGUUUAAGGACUUUUUUAGUUUGUCUAGCAUUUUUUCAUUGGAAUUGUCACAUCCUAAAGUGAGUACACUUCAUUUCACUUGCAACUGUUGCAAGCUGCACCUGAAUAACUGACGGCCUGGUUAAGCCAGCCCAUCUACUUUUGAUUGACAAUUGUCACAUCUACUUCAUUUCACAUGUUUCUUCCGUUUUGCUUGAAUCUGAAACUCUGUGCCGGUUUAACAGAAAUUUAGAUUCAUAACUUAUUCAAAACUCAAGUUGUAGAAAAAAUACAGAAAGAAUAAUCAAAGAAUCA